UAUAAGUGCACUUAUGAAUUUUUGUGUCUAAUAUUUGACUGUUCGUCUUAUUUGAAAAUUUUAUAAAUUUUUUUAAUAAAAAUUAGUCACAAAUAGAGGACUAUUCAUAUUUUAUCAUCUAAUAACAAAUAAAAUACUAAUAAUAAAAUUUCUCAAAAUAAGACAGACGGUCAAACGUUGGACAUAAACACUGCAGUCUUU
rnacentral:pre_miRNA from 1 species